rnacentral:rRNA from 1 species
GUUGUAUGGUUAAGUGACUAAGCGUACACGGUGGAUGCCUGGGCAGUCAGAGGCGAUGAAGGACGUACUAACUUGCGAUAAGCGCAGAUAAGGCAGUAAGAGCCGUUUGAGUCUGCGAUUUCCGAAUGGGGAAACCCAACUGCAUAAGCAGUUACUGUUAACUGAAUACAUAGGUUAACAGAGCAAACCGGGGGAACUGAAACAUCUAAGUACCCCGAGGAGAAGAAAUCAACCGAGAUUCCGGUAGUAGCGGCGAGCGAACCUGGAUUAGCCCUUAAGCACUCGGUGAAGUAGGUGAACAAGCUGGAAAGCUUGGCGAUACAGGGUGAUAGCCCCGUAACCGACGCUUCAUCGAGCGUGAAAUCGAGUAGGGCGGGACACGUGAUAUCCUGUCUGAAUAUGGGGGGACCAUCCUCCAAGGCUAAAUACUCCUGACUGACCGAUAGUGAACCAGUACCGUGAGGGAAAGGCGAAAAGAACCCCUGUGAGGGGAGUGAAAUAGAACCUGAAACCGUGUACGUACAAGCAGUAGGAGCACCUUCGUGGUGUGACUGCGUACCUUUUGUAUAAUGGGUCAGCGACUUAUAUUCAGUGGCAAGGUUAACCGUAUAGGGGAGCCGUAGCGAAAGCGAGUCUUAACUGGGCGCUCAGUCUCUGGAUAUAGACCCGAAACCGGGUGAUCUAGCCAUGGGCAGGUUGAAGGUUGAGUAACAUCAACUGGAGGACCGAACCGACUAAUGUUGAAAAAUUAGCGGAUGACUUGUGGCUAGGGGUGAAAGGCCAAUCAAACUCGGAGAUAGCUGGUUCUCCCCGAAAGCUAUUUAGGUAGCGCCUCGGACGAAUACUACUGGGGGUAGAGCACUGUUAAGGCUAGGGGGUCAUCCCGACUUACCAACCCUUUGCAAACUCCGAAUACCAGUAAGUACUAUCCGGGAGACACACGGCGGGUGCUAACGUCCGUCGUGGAGAGGGAAACAACCCAGACCGCCAGCUAAGGUCCCAAAGUAUUGCUAAGUGGGAAACGAUGUGGGAAGGCUCAGACAGCUAGGAUGUUGGCUUAGAAGCAGCCAUCAUUUAAAGAAAGCGUAAUAGCUCACUAGUCGAGUCGGCCUGCGCGGAAGAUGUAACGGGGCUAAGCAAUACACCGAAGCUGCGGCAAUAUCUUUUAGAUAUUGGGUAGGGGAGCGUUCUGUAAGCCGUUGAAGGUGAAUCGUAAGGUUUGCUGGAGGUAUCAGAAGUGCGAAUGCUGACAUGAGUAACGACAAAGGGGGUGAAAAACCUCCUCGCCGGAAGACCAAGGGUUCCUGUCCAACGUUAAUCGGGGCAGGGUGAGUCGACCCCUAAGGUGAGGCCGAAAGGCGUAAUCGAUGGGAAACGGGUUAAUAUUCCCGUACUUCUGACUAUUGCGAUGGGGGGACGGAGAAGGCUAGGUGGGCCAGGCGACGGUUGUCCUGGUUCAAGUGCGUAGGCUUGAGAGUUAGGUAAAUCCGGCUCUCUUUAAGGCUGAGACACGACGUCGAGCUGCUACGGCAGUGAAGUCAUUGAUGCCAUGCUUCCAGGAAAAGCCUCUAAGCUUCAGAUAGUCAGGAAUCGUACCCCAAACCGACACAGGUGGUCGGGUAGAGAAUACCAAGGCGCUUGAGAGAACUCGGGUGAAGGAACUAGGCAAAAUGGUACCGUAACUUCGGGAGAAGGUACGCUCUUGAUGGUGAAGUCCCUCGCGGAUGGAGCUGACGAGAGUCGCAGAUACCAGGUGGCUGCAACUGUUUAUUAAAAACACAGCACUGUGCAAAAUCGCAAGAUGACGUAUACGGUGUGACGCCUGCCCGGUGCCGGAAGGUUAAUUGAUGGGGUUAGCGCAAGCGAAGCUCUUGAUCGAAGCCCCGGUAAACGGCGGCCGUAACUAUAACGGUCCUAAGGUAGCGAAAUUCCUUGUCGGGUAAGUUCCGACCUGCACGAAUGGCGUAAUGAUGGCCACGCUGUCUCCACCCGAGACUCAGUGAAAUUGAAAUCGCUGUGAAGAUGCAGUGUACCCGCGGCUAGACGGAAAGACCCCGUGAACCUUUACUACAGCUUGGCACUGAACAUUGAACCUACAUGUGUAGGAUAGGUGGGAGGCUAUGAAGACGUGACGCCAGUUGCGUUGGAGCCGUCCUUGAAAUACCACCCUUGUAUGUUUGAUGUUCUAACUUAGCCCCAUUAUCUGGGGUGAGGACAGUGCCUGGUGGGUAGUUUGACUGGGGCGGUCUCCUCCCAAAGAGUAACGGAGGAGCACGAAGGUGGGCUAAUCACGGUUGGACAUCGUGAGGUUAGUGCAAUGGCAUAAGCCCGCUUAACUGCGAGAAUGACGGUUCGAGCAGGUGCGAAAGCAGGUCAUAGUGAUCCGGUGGUUCUGUAUGGAAGGGCCAUCGCUCAACGGAUAAAAGGUACUCCGGGGAUAACAGGCUGAUACCGCCCAAGAGUUCAUAUCGACGGCGGUGUUUGGCACCUCGAUGUCGGCUCAUCACAUCCUGGGGCUGAAGUCGGUCCCAAGGGUAUGGCUGUUCGCCAUUUAAAGUGGUACGCGAGCUGGGUUUAGAACGUCGUGAGACAGUUCGGUCCCUAUCUGCCGUGGGCGUUGGAAGAUUGAAGGGGGCUGCUCCUAGUACGAGAGGACCGGAGUGGACGAACCUCUGGUGUUCGGGUUGUGUCGCCAGACGCAUUGCCCGGUAGCUAAGUUCGGAAUUGAUAAGCGCUGAAAGCAUCUAAGCGCGAAGCGAGCCCUGAGAUGAGUCUUCCCUGA